rnacentral:rRNA from 1 species
CCUACGGGUGGCAGCAGUGAGGAAUAUUGGUCAAUGGCCGAGAGGCUGAACCAGCCAAGUCGCGUGAGGGAUGACGGCCCUACGGGUUGUAAACUGCUUUUAUACGGGAAUAACGCGCCUUACGUGUAAGGCUUUGCAUGUACCGUAUGAAUAAGGACCGGCUAAUUCCGUGCCAGCAGCCGCGGUAAUACGGAAGGUCCGGGCGUUAUCCGGAUUUAUUGGGUUUAAAGGGAGCGUAGGCCGCAUGUCAAGCGUGCUGUGAAAUGUCCGGGCUCAACCCGGGCCUUGCAGCGCGAACUGGCGUGCUUGAGUCCGCGGAAAGCAGGCGGAAUUCGUCGUGUAGCGGUGAAAUGCUUAGAUAUGACGAAGAACCCCGAUUGCGAAGGCAGCUUGCUGCAGCGGAACUGACGCUGAUGCUCGAAAGCGCGGGUAUCGAACAGGAUUAGAUACCCUGGUAGUC